rnacentral:RNase_P_RNA from 2 species
AAAGCAGGUCGAGUGGCUGCCGUGCGUAAAAUACACGGAGGAAAGUCCGAACUCCAUAAGGCAGGACGGUUGUUAAAAACAACCGAGAGUAAUCUCAGGGAAAGUGCCACAGAAAAUUACCGCCUAAUUCUAAGACGAAUAAGUCUGUGAGCUAGGUAAGGUUGAAAAAGCGAGGUAAGAGCUCACUGGCUAUAAUGGAGACAUUACAGCAAGGUAAACCCCGUCCGGAGAAAGGUCAAAUAGUUUACGCCUAUCAGGCAGCCUGUCUGAUUCAUCUUCUAUAAGAUGAAGGCGUAAGGGUAUAGACCGCUAAAAAUUAAGAGCAAUCUUGAUUUCAGAUGAAUGGCCACAUAAACAGAAUUCGGCUUAUGACCUGCUUUUUUU